CAACUCUUAGCAAUGGAUAUCUUGGUUCCCACAACGAUGAAGAACGCAGCGAAAUGCGAUACGUAAUGCGAAUUGCAGAAUUCAGUGAAUCAUCGAAUCUUUGAACGCAAGUUGCGCUUUCGA
rnacentral:rRNA from 1 species